UACCAGCACCCCGAGUGGUCGGGACGUUUAUUGGGCCUAAAGCAUCCGUAGCCGGUUCUACAAGUCUUCCGUUAAAUCCAACUGCUUAACAGGUGGGCUGCGGAAGAUACUAUAGAGCUAGGAGGCGGGGGAGGCAAGCGGUACUCGAUGGGUAGGGGUAAAAUCCGUUGAUCCAUUGAAGAACACCAGUUGCGAAGGCGGCUGGCUGGGUCCACAUUGACGCUGAGGCUCGAAAGCGUGGGGAGCAAACAGG
rnacentral:rRNA from 1 species